UCCCUAGUGGUUCAGCUGGUAAAUUAUCUGCCUGCAAUGCAGGAUACCUGGGUUCGAUUCCUGGGUUGGGAA
rnacentral:tRNA from 1 species